AUUAGUACUUAGGCAAUACUGUGCUUCGGAACUUCGGCACUUCAGAAAUUUGGUAUUUUCGGGACCUCGGCAAUUCGGACAUUCGGAGGUACCCGAAUGUCCGAAUUGCCCUAAAUUCGUCCAAAUUCAUAUUCAGACAGAAACGAAUUGCACAUGUUUAGCAGACAUGUAUUUGUAGGCAGAUGAGUUGGACAUACAGGAAUAGAUGGGGUUGAGGGUCCUGCGCAAGUUAGCUUACAUUCUAGAGGUAAACUUCUCCCAUUGUGUAUAAAAAGUAAGCAGAUUAAAUAUAUUUUACUAUUGGUCUUAGUGCAACAUGCUUAUUUGUCUGAGCAGCAUCAAUACAUAUUCAUGCCUUCUAAUAUUUCAAAUGGACAAAGACAUUUUAAUUCUUGGAGCAUCAUUGUGGGUGUGGAUAGGGAUGUUGCUGUUCUGAGAAAUGUUAGGGGACUCACUAAUAAUUGAUACAACUAAAAUGCAAUUAGAACAAAAACACUAUCUUAUUUAUACAGCCUAUCC